GACGAACGCUGGCGGCGUGCUUAACACAUGCAAGUCGAACGGAAGGGCCCUGCUUUUGUGGGGUGCUCGAGUGGCGAACGGGUGAGUAACACGUGAGUAACCUGCCCUUGACUUUGGGAUAACUUCAGGAAACUGGGGCUAAUACCGGAUAGGAGCUCCUGCUGCAUGGUGGGGGUUGGAAAGUUUCGGCGGUUGGGGAUGGACUCGCGGCUUAUCAGAUUGUUGGUGGGGUAGUGGCUUACCAAGGCUUUGACGGGUAGCCGGCCUGAGAGGGUGACCGGCCACAUUGGGACUGAGCUACGGCCCAGACUCCUACGGGAGGCAGCAGUGGGGAAUAUUGCACAAUGGGCGGAAGCCUGAUGCAGCAACGCCGCGUGCGGGAUGACGGCAUUCGGGUUGUAAACCGCUUUCGCCUGUGACGAAGCGUGAGUGACGGUAAUGGGUAAAGAAGCACCGGCUAACUACGUG
rnacentral:rRNA from 1 species